UACGUAGGGUGCGAGCGUUGUCCGGAAUUACUGGGCGUAAAGAGCUCGUAGGUGGUUUGUCGCGUUGUCCGUGAAAACUCACAACUCAAUUGUGGGCGUGCGGGCGAUACGGGCAGACUGGAGUACUGCAGGGGAGACUGGAAUUCCUGGUGUAGCGGUGGAAUGCGCAGAUAUCAGGAGGAACACCAGUGGCGAAAGCGGCCACCUGGACUGCACCUGACGCUGACACGCGAAAGCUAGGGGAGCGAACGGG
rnacentral:rRNA from 1 species